GUGCACCGCCGUAGCCAGCGCCGCUACCCUACUUUCCCGCGCCGCACCCGACUUACUCACAUUGUGAUAAAGUCAUCAUUUCUGCGUUUGAGUCAAAAAAGGCGUAACGCAAUACAAUCCAUUAAUAAAGUAAAAAAUGUCAUGAGUAAUAAACAUUUAUUAAAAUUA